CACUUCUAAGGAAGGCAGCAGGCGCGCAAAUUACCCAAUCCUGACUCAGGGAGGUAGUGACAAGAAAUAACAAUAAACCGGCUUAUGCCGGUUUAAUUGGAAUGAGUACAAUUUAAACAUCUUAACGAGGAACAAUUGGAGGGCAAGUCUGGUGCCAGCAGCCGCGGUAAUUUCAGCUCCAAUAGCGUAUACUAAAGUUGUUGCAGUUAAAAAGCUCGUAGUUGGAUUUCUGUGGGGACGGAGCGGCCGGCCGCAACACGCGGUUCGAGCUAGCGCUUUCCCUACAUCCUGCCGCGAACCGUGCUACCAUUAGUUUGGUGGCGCCGGGGAUCGGCUCGAUUACUUUGAGAAAAAUAGAGUGUUCAAAGCAGGCCACAUGCCUUGAAUAAGUUAGCAUGGAAUAAUAACUAAGGACUUCGGUUCUAUUUUGUUGGUGUUCGGGACUGAAGUAAUGAUUGAUAGGGACAGUUGGGGCGGUCUGUAUUCCAAAGCGAGAGGUGAAAUUCUUAGACCUUCGGAAGACAAACAGCUGCGAAAGCGUUCCGCAAGGAUGUUCCCUUUGAUCAAGAACGAAAGUUGGGGGAUCGAAGACGAUCAGAUACCGUCGUAGUCUCAACUAUAAACUAUACCAGCUAGGGAUCGGCCAACGUUAUUUCAUACCGACUUGGUCGGCACCUUAUGAGAAAUCAAAGCAUCUGGGUUCCGGGGGGAGUAUGGUCGCAAGGCUGAAACUUAGAGGAAUUGACGGAAGGGCACCACCAGCCGUGGAGCCUGUGGCUUAAUUUGACUCAACACGGGAAAACUUACCAGGUCCAGACAUAGUAAGGAUUGACAGAUUGAUAGCUCUUUCUUGAUUCUGUGGGUGGUGGUGCAUGGCCGUUCUUAGUUGGUGGAGUGAUUUGUCUGGUUAAUUCCGUUAACGAACGAGACCCCAGCCUGCUAAAUAGCGCGCGUGAGCUUUGCUCGCGGCGAGCUUCUUAGAGGGACUAUGAUGCGCGAUAGCACAUGGAAGUUUGGGGCAAUAACAGGUCUGUGAUGCCCUUAGAUGUUCUGGGCCGCACACGGGCUACACUGGCGCCUGCAACGAGCAUAUCAGCUGGCCCGAGAGGGUCUUGGCUAAUCUUUUGAACCGGCGCCGUGCUUGGGAUUGACCUUUGCAAUUGUUGGUCAUGCAACGAGGAAUGCCUUGUAAACGCGGGUCAUCAGCUCGCAUUGAAUACGUCCCUGCCCUUUGUACACACCGCCCGUCGCUCCUACCGAUGAAUGUUCCGAUGAAAUUUUCGGAGAGUGCCUGUGAACUUGGCUCUGCCUUGCGAACGGGAAGCUCAAAGUCACUUAAAUCUGAACAUUUCGAGG
rnacentral:rRNA from 1 species